rnacentral:rRNA from 1 species
UAGGGAAUCUUCCACAAUGGACGCAAGUCUGAUGGAGCAACGGCCGCGUGAGUGAAGAAGGUUUUCGGACCGUAAAGCUCUGUUGUUGGUGAAGAAGGAUAGAGGUAGUAACUGGCCUUUAUUUGACGGUAAUCAACCAGAAAGUCACGGCUAACUACGUGCCAGCAGCCGCGGUAAUACGUAGGUGGCAAGCGUUGUCCGGAUUUAUUGGGCGUAAAGCGAGCGCAGGCGGAAGAAUAAGUCUGAUGUGAAAGCCCUCGGCUUAACCGAGGAAUUGCAUCGGAAACUGUUUUCUUGAGUGCAGAAGAGGAGAGUAGAACUCCAUGUGUAGCGGUGGAAUGCGUAGAUAUAUGGAAGAAUACCAGUGGCGAAGGCGGCUCUCUGGUCUGCAACUGACGCUGAGGCUCGAAAGCAUGGGUAGCGAACAGGAUUAGAUACCCUGGUAGUCCAUGCCGUAAACGAUGAGUGCUAAGUGUUGGGAGGCUUCCGCCUCUCAGUGCUGCAGCUAACGCAUUAAGCACUCCGCCUGGGGAGUACGACCGCAAGGUUGAAAC